GGACGAACGCUGGCGGCGUGCCUAACACAUGCAAGUCGAACGAGGUCCAUCCAGUAGCAAUACUGGGGAAGACCUAGUGGCGAACGGGUGAGUAACACGUGAGGAACCUGCCCCGGAGACCGGGAUAACGCUCCGAAAGGAACGCUAAUACCGGAUACCUUUACCAGGCCGCAUGACCUGGUGAAGAAAUGGAUUCCGCUUCGGGAGGGCCUCGCGGCCUAUCAGCUUGUUGGUGGGGUAACGGCCCACCAAGGCUUCGACGGGUAGCUGGUCUGAGAGGACGAUCAGCCACACUGGGACUGAGACACGGCCCAGACUCCUACGGGAGGCAGCAGUGGGGAAUCUUGCGCAAUGGGCGAAAGCCUGACGCAGCAACGCCGCGUGGGGGAUGAAGGCUCUCGGGUUGUAAACCCCUUUCAGCAGGGACGAUCGUGACGGUACCUGCAGAAGAAGGCCCGGCCAACUACGUGCCAGCAGCCGCGGUAACACGUAGGGGCCAAGCGUUGUCCGGAUUUAUUGGGCGUAAAGAGCUCGUAGGCGGUUCGGUAAGUCGGGUGUGAAACCUCCAGGCUCAACCUGGAGACGCCACCCGAUACUGCUGUGACUCGAGUCCGGUAGGGGAGCGUGGAAUUCCUGGUGUAGCGGUGAAAUGCGCAGAUAUCAGGAGGAACACCAGCGGCGAAGGCGGCGCUCUGGGCCGGAACUGACGCUGAGGAGCGAAAGCGUGGGUAGCAAACAGGAUUAGAUACCCUGGUAGUCCACGCCGUAAACGUUGGGCACUAGGUGUGGGUCUCAACCAACGGGAUCUGUGCCGUAGCUAACGCAUUAAGUGCCCCGCCUGGG
rnacentral:rRNA from 1 species